rnacentral:tRNA from 1 species
GCCUCGGUAGCUCAGUUGGGAGAGCGUCAGACUGAAGAUCUGAAGAUCCCGGGUCGCGGCA